rnacentral:rRNA from 1 species
GUGCAGCAGUCGCGAAUUUUUCUCAAUGGGGGCAACCCUGAAGGAGCGACGCCGCGUGGAGGAUGAAGGCUUUCGGGUUGUAAACUCCUGUCAUUUGAGAACAAGUGUAGCCAAGUAACUACUGGCUACUUGAUAGUAUCAGAAGAGGAAGGGACGGCUAACUCUGUGCCAGCAGCCGCGGUAAUACAGAGGUCCCAAGCGUUGUUCGGAUUCAUUGGGCGUAAAGGGUGCGUAGGUGGCGCCGUAAGUGGGGUGUGAAAUUUCGGAGCUUAACUCCGAAACUGCAUUCCAUACUGCGGUGCUUGAGGACUGGAGAGGAGACUGGAAUUCAUGGUGUAGCAGUGAAAUGCGUAGAGAUCAUGAGGAAGACCAGUGGCGAAGGCGGGUCUCUGGACAGUUCCUGACACUGAGGCACGAAGGCCAGGGGAGCGAACGGGAUUAGAUA